rnacentral:rRNA from 1 species
CCAGACUCCUACGGGAGGCAGCAGUGAGGAAUAUUGGUCAAUGGGAGGAAUCCUGAACCAGCCAUGCCGCGUGCAGGACGACGGCUCUACGAGUUGUAAACUGCUUUUGUACCGGGGUAAAAUGCCUUACGAGUAGGGUUUUGAAAGUACGGUACGAAUAAGGAUCGGCUAACUCCGUGCCAGCAGCCGCGGUAAUACGGAGGAUCCGAGCGUUAUCCGGAUUUAUUGGGUUUAAAGGGUGCGCAGCCGGCCUGUUAAGGAGGGGGAAAAGGCCGGGGGACAACCCCGGGCGAGCCGUUGAAACUGGCGGGCUGGAGUUGGAGAGAAGUACGCGGAAUGCGCGGUGUAGCGGUGAAAUGCUUAGAUAUCGCGCAGAACCCCGAUUGCGAAGGCAGCGUACCGGCUCCACACUGACGCUGAGGCACGAAAGCGUGGGUAUCGAACAGGAUUAGAUACCCUAGUAU